ACGAACGCUGGCGGCGUGCUUAACACAUGCCAGUCGAACGGAAAGGCCCUGCUUUUGUGGGGUGCUCGAGUGGCGAACGGGUGAGUAACACGUGAGUAACCUGCCCUUGACUUUGGGAUAACUUCAGGAAACUGGGGCUAAUACCGGAUAGGAGCUCCUGCUGCAUGGUGGGGGUUGGAAAGUUUCGGCGGUUGGGGAUGGACUCGCGGCUUAUCAGCUUGUUGGUGGGGUAGUGGCUUACCAAGGCUUUGACGGGUAGCCGGCCUGAGAGGGUGACCGGCCACAGUGGGACUGAGAGACGGCCCAGACUCCUACGGGAGGCAGCAGUGGGGAAUAUUGCACAAUGGGCGGAAGCCGGAUGCAGCAACGCCGCGUGCGGGAUGACGGCCUUCGGGUUGUAAACCGCUUUCGCCUGUGACGAAGCGUGAGUGACGGUAAUGGGUAAAGAAGCACAGGCUAACUACGU
rnacentral:rRNA from 1 species